rnacentral:tRNA from 1 species
GGAUAUAGUUCAGUGGUAAAGCAAGUGCUUAGCAUGCACAAGGUCCUGGGUUCAAUCCUCAGUACCUCCA